ensembl:lincRNA
UGCGGACUUAGCCUUGAAGUGUGGGUAGAAUUUGGAAAGACUUUUCCAAGAGUGGCCUAGAAAAUAAGCAAAGUUGUAUUACCUGGGAAAAUAUUUCAAUAAGAUUCAGGUCACUUGCUUAAGAACACCAUUUCCCAGAAGACAACAGUGGGGAGUUUACCAUUCAAAGACCUGCUUUGGAGAUGUAGAUUACUGUACCCUUUGAUUUUCAGAAGAUGCAGUUAGUAUUUCUCUUUUUCAACAAAUACUGUUUUCUUACUAAACCAUAUUUCCUGUUCCCAGAGUAAUUUUAUGCUGAUUGAAGAAAAGAAGUAAACAGAGUUCCAGAAAGCAACUGCAAAUACUCAUUUUGGAAAAGAAAACAAAACAAAAACAAGGGAGACAUUUUAAAAGUGCUAGCAGCCUGUACGCUCUGGGCAACACUGCCAGAUUCCUGAGUAAAGGUACCAACCUCAGAAGCUAUCAACUACAAAUGACAGAACCCAUGAUGUAUGUCAGGACUUCAGUGCCCAGAGGGGCCAGUAGGCUGCAUACCCAGUUACAGAGGGCCAGGACUAUUAACAGCUGGACUUCGACCAAGGAACACACAGGGGAGAGAGCCUUUCUUUGA